AAAAUCUACUGUUGGAUCAAGUUUUGUGUCCACCACACUUAGAUGAGGCGUGCCCGACCCCUGACUUUGUCUACCCUACAUUAAGUUGCACACUUCAUGACAGUAAACAUCGGUAUCACAUUGGUGUGAUUGAUCUAUACCCUGGCCUAGAAUAAGCUGUGACACUAUGAGACGUGAGGUAACACAACGAAAAAAUUACCGGAUGGAGACUACCUGAUUCUUCACCUAUGGCCUCAGCUUCAAAUGCAACAUGUCCAGCAACUGUCUGAGUUGGUGGAUAUUCUGUCAGAGACUGCGUGAACAACGUUAUGAACAGAAUGAUGUCAAAUUGUCUUAUGGCAAAGUUCAAUAUGAGGGGUGGUGGACAUCUGGAAAAGAAGUCUUUUAAAGGCACACCUUUGUAUUAUGUUAUUCAAGAUGCUGUGAAGAGGUGGAGCCCAAAUGCCACAGACUCGGAAAUAGAUGCAGCUAUGGCAGACCACCUCAAGCACGCUCCAGGAAGAGCUGGGGGUGGUGGAUACAAAAAAGCCAAACAGCUGUGAUGUGUUAAAGAGAGAGUUCACCAAAAAAGGAAAAUUGUUAUAAUUUUCUUAUCCACAUGUUUCAAACCUGUAUACCUUUAUAUUUUCUGCUGAACACAAAGAUUGAAGAAUGUUUGUAACUUCACAACCAAUUAACUGUCAAUAUUUUUUUUACAAUUGUAGUAAUGGGUUGUGGGAUCUGCUUUGUUAAAAACAUUCUUUCACAUAUCUUUGUGUUCAGCAGAACAUAGAAGGGUAUACAGGUUUGAAACAUGAGAGGGAAUAAAUGACUAAAUAUUAAUUUUUGGGUGAACUAUCCCUUUAUAGAAAGUGUUUUGAAGUUGUUAUUAUAGUUAAAUGGUUAAAAAAAUAAAAAGUGCUAAAUCAGAA